rnacentral:rRNA from 1 species
CAGAGGGGGAUAACGUUUGGAAACGAACGCUAAUACCGCAUGAUAUUAUUGGGCAGCAUUGCCUGAUAAUCAAAGGAGCAAUCCGCUGAAAGCUGGGCUCGCGUCCGAUUAGGUAGUUGGCGGGGUAACGGCCCACCAAGCCGACGAUCGGUAGCCGGACUGAGAGGUUGAACGGCCACAUUGGGACUGAGACACGGCCCAGACUCCUACGGGAGGCAGCAGUGAGGGAUAUUGGUCAAUGGGGGAAACCCUGAACCAGCAACGCCGCGUGAGGGAAGACGGUUUUCGGAUUGUAAACCUCUGUCCUCUGUGAAGAUGAUGACGGUAGCAGAGGAGGAAGCUCCGGCUAACUACGUGCCAGCAGCCGCGGUAAUACGUAGGGAGCAAGCGUUGUCCGGAUUUACUGGGUGUAAAGGGUGCGUAGGCGGCUUUGCAAGUCAGAAGUGAAAUCUAUGGGCUUAACCCAUAAACUGCUUUUGAAACUGCAGGGCUUGAGUGAAGUAGAGGUAGGCGGAAUUCCCGGUGUAGCGGUGAAAUGCGUAGAGAUCGGGAGGAACACCAGUGGCGAAGGCGGCCUACUGGGCUUUAACUGACGCUGAGGCACGAAAGCGUGGGUAGCAAACAGGAUUAGAUACCCUGGUAGUCCACGCUGUAAACGAUGAUUACUAGGUGUGGGAGGACUGACCCCAUCCGUGCCGGAGU